rnacentral:rRNA from 1 species
UACGUAGGGUGCGAGCGUUAAUCGGAAUUACUGGGCGUAAAGCGUGCGCAGGCGGUUCGUUAAGUUCGUUGUGAAAGCCCCGGGCUCAACCUGGGAACUGCAAUGGAAACUGGCGGGCUUGAAUGCGGCAGAGGGGGGUGGAAUUCCGGCGUGUAGCAGUGAAAUGCGUAGAGAUGCGGAGGAACACCGAUGGCGAAGGCAGCCCCCUGGGCCGACAUUGACGCUCAGGCACGAAAGCGUGGGGAGCAAACAGG